GAUGAACGCUGGCGGCGUGCCUAAUACAUGCAAGUCGAGCGAACGGACGAGAAGCUUGCUUUUCUGAUGUUAGCGGCGGACGGGUGAGUAACACGUGGAUAACCUACCUAUAAGACUGGGAUAACUUCGGGAAACCGGAGCUAAUACCGGAUAAUAUUUUGAACCGCAUGGUUCAAAAGUGAAAGACGGUCUUGCUGUCACUUAUAGAUGGAUCCGCGCUGCAUUAGCUAGUUGGUAAGGUAACGGCUUACCAAGGCAACGAUGCAUAGCCGACCUGAGAGGGUGAUCGGCCACACUGGAACUGAGAAACGGUCCAGACUCCUACGGGAGGCAGCAGUAGGGAAUCUUCCGCAAUGGGCGAAAGACUGACGGAGCAACGCCGCGUGAGUGAUGAAGGUCUUCGGAUCGUAAAACUCUGUUAUUAGGGAAGAACAUAUGUGUAAGUAACUGUGCACAUCUUGACGGUACCUAAUCAGAAAGCCACGGCUAACUACGUG
rnacentral:rRNA from 1 species